AGACAAGUGAACGCUUCUGGAAGCUUUCACAGCUCUGCUAAUAAUUCCUGUCUUUCACGGCAGACAUUUUUAAUAAGGAAGCAAAAUGUCUUACAUAAAUUCAGCUUCUGGAGAUUCAUUCGGCUAAGACAAGAAAAGGGAGGCAGGAACAAUACAGAUUGGAAGGAAGACCAUAGAGCCUCACCUUAUCUCCAGCCAGGAUCUUGAAAGAAGCCAUAACCUGGUCAGCAGUAUCUGUAUCUGCUGUUUCCCGGGACAUGAAGUCAAUGAAGGCCUGGAACGUCACUACACCCAUGCGAUUAGGAUCGACAAUGCUCAUGAUGCGGGCAAACUCUGCCUCUCCCUGGAGAACAAGAGAGUCAUGUAAGCCUGGACACUUGGGCAGCAGUGCCAUGAAAGCGAGGAGAAAAUGUUCAGCAGCACAUCUCACAGCUGGGAAAGCAAAGUCAAACAGAAACAACUUCAACCUUUCAUUAAAAUACUCUUUUUUAUCUG